AUGGAAAUGGAAAGGUCACUGAACGCAGUGUUUGUGUGUGUUAGAUUAUCAAGCCUUUCUUCCCCAAAAUCACGAUCUAUUCUUCAUUCAGAACUCAAUGUCGCCGUUCUUCUUCAUCAUAGAAAUCGCGACUCCAUACUUUUCUCUGAUCGAAACAUAACGCUUCCGUACCUCAAUCUUCUUCCACUUCAAUCACGAUGA